UACGGAGGGUGCAAGCAUUAAUCGGAUUUAUUGGGCGUAAAGGACGCGUAGGCGGGUUUGUAAGUCAGAUGUGAAAUUCCGAAGCUCAACUUCGGAGCUGCAUUUGAAACUACAAGUCUUGAGGAAAGGCGGAGAAAAUGGAAUUCCACGUGUAGCGGUGAAAUGCGUAGAUAUGUGGAAGAACACCGGUGGCGAAAGCGGUUUUCUAGCUUAUUCCUGACGCUGAGGCGCGAGAGCAAGGGGAGCAAACAGG
rnacentral:rRNA from 1 species